AGAGUUUGAUCCUGGCUCAGAUUGAACGCUGGCGGCAGGCCUAACACGUGCAAGUCGAACGGUAACAGGAAGAAGCUUGCUUCUUUGCUGACGAGUGGCGGACGGGUGAGUAAUGUCUGGGAAACUGCCUGAUGGAGGGGGAUAACUACUGGAAACGGUAGCUAAUACCGCAUAACGUCGCAAGACCAAAGAGGGGGACCUUCGGGCCUCUUGCCAUCGGAUGUGCCCAGAUGGGAUUAGCUAGUAGGUGGGGUAAAGGCUCACCUAGGCGACGAUCCCUAGCUGGUCUGAGAGGAUGACCAGCCACACUGGAACUGAGACACGGUCCAGACUCCUACGGGAGGCAGCAGUGGGGAAUAUUGCACAAUGGGCGCAAGCCUGAUGCAGCCAUGCCGCGUGUAUGAAGAAGGCCUUCGGGUUGUAAAGUUCUGUCUUUGGGGACGAUAAUGACGGUACCCAAGGAGGAAGCCACGGCUAACUACGU
rnacentral:rRNA from 1 species